ACCCAGCUGACGAGUUCGAAAUAGGACGAGACGUGCAUCUUGGAU
rnacentral:hammerhead_ribozyme from 1 species